UACGUAGGUGGCAAGCGUUGUCCGGAUUUACUGGGUGUAAAGGGCGUGUAGCCGGGCUGACAAGUCAGAUGUGAAAUUCCGGGGCUCAACCCCGGACCUGCAUUUGAAACUGUUGGUCUUGAGUAUCGGAGAGGCAGGCGGAAUUCCUGGUGUAGCGGUGAAAUGCGUAGAUAUUAGGAGGAACACCAGUGGCGAAGGCGGCCUGCUGGACGACAACUGACGGUGAGGCGCGAAAGCGUGGGGAGCAAACAGG
rnacentral:rRNA from 1 species